UGUUAGAAUUAUACCAUAAAACAUGAUAUAAAUGAAUUAAGAAGAAGAGCGCUGUUCUUACAAAUGAAACUACAAUAUCUUAUCAUUUCGCGAAGCGGCAUAAAAGGUUAUCUUUCUCUAGACAAGAGUGUUCAACUGUUUGAACGAGUUAGGUAUAUCUCAGCAAGAUAAAAAUUUGGGAUAUUAAUGGACGGGAUGGGUAUUUCGCUGUUCACGGCCAGACGCAGCGAGGAGCUUAUAAAAAACCAUUAAGGGGACGAUGUGAUAUGGUUUAAGAUACAUAACAUAGAAUUCACCAUCUCGUCCAGCAAAAGGCUGCGCCGGAUCAGCGGUAGUAGUAUGCCAAGAACCCAACAAACUAUGGAUACAUGGGAUGAAAUGCAUUAUUGAUAAAUAAAAUAUUUUAUUUAUUUAUUUAUAUAUUAAAUAUAUUAUUGUAAAUGCAUACAAUACUAAAUGAAAGGUUCCAACAUGUUUCAUGAAAUGCUCAAUUCCGCGCAAUUAGAAGUGAAAAUCAUAAAAUCUGACUUAACCGAUGUUGGACAACCACAUACAACAUGUUGUAACCCUUCUUAUCUGUUUUCCAGAAAUGUACAUAGAUUCGCAUAAGACGUUUUAUCUUAUCGACCGUUUAAUCGCACUUGGUGAUCUUGAAAAAGCACACUAUUGAGAUAAUAAUAUAUCUAUAUAUUAAUACGUGAAGCAAAAACUUGUAUCCCUUUUUACGAAAAUUGCGCGGACGGGGGAGUAUGAAAUUUUCCACACUUAUAGAGAAUAUAGAGAAGAAGUGCACAAUGCUAAUAUAUUUUUUAAAUAAUGCAUAUAAGAUACAUUAAAUCAAUAAAGAAAACAUUACACACACUACAUACCAUGUAUUUGACGCACACACGCUUGCACACUAUUUAUUGUGAAACUUUUGUUCUUGACGUCUGUUGUCAAAUUGAGAAUAAAUUAAAUAUUGUUUGCCUUUGUUAAUAUUUUUUAUAGUGUAGUCUUAGCGAAAUUUGUGGUUAUAGAAGUAUAAAAUACAAUCAUAAUAGUGUACAAACUUACAGUUCCAAUUAUUUAUAGUCGAAUUUCGACUACUGCGGGACCUCUAGUUCAAAUAACUUUGUAACUUUUUUAUUGUCCGUGUAGGCAGACGAGCAUACGGUCUGAUGGUGAGUGAUUACCGUCGCUAAUGGACGUCGGCAAUCCCAAGGCCAAAGCCAAGCCGCUGCCUUUUUUACUCUCCACAAGCCUCGUUUGAAGAAGGACAUGUCCUAGCAUCAUUUAUUAAUUAAUCAAAAUGAUAUGAGACACCAUUAGUUGAGGUACCAUUAGUAGUAUAGCUAUAGGUAGGCAGUAUAACUGGCAGUAGGCCAGUAGUAAAACAAUAUUCCAGUCGAUGAAUAAUUCACCUUAAUCAUCUGUGACCGGGAAAGCUGUAAAGUAUUUAAAACGUCACAAAUAAUAUAUACACAAUUUAAAAAAAGCGAGAUUAAAUCUUUACAAUUUAAUUAUGACCGUAUAGGUCUUUUUUUAUACAUAUUUGUGCUAUAAUAACUCAUCCCAGUAUUGGAAAACUUGUCGCAAAAUAGUUUAUUAUAAAUAUAACAAAACAUAAAUAAAAUGUUCCUGACAACAAUAUCUAAUGAUUUUUUUCAAAUUAGGGAAAGAUAUACUGUGACAUAUUUAAUAUAAAGUUCAUAAGAGAAUAAACAGUUGAAGAGAGAUAUAUGUACGCCCAACUGAAAUAAUGUUUUUUUUUUAUUUGCAUUUAUCACAAACUCAUCAAUUUGUAUAGGUUCCAAUGUAGGCGUUGCAAUUCGGACAGUAAUGAGUAGCAUUUUGACAGCUUUCCAUGCAGUAAGGGAUGCAAGCACAUGGCCAGCAUC